rnacentral:tRNA from 1 species
AUAUAAAUAGUAUAAAAAUUACAUUUAAUUUCCAAUUAAAAAAUUUAUAAAAUAUUAAUUUAUAUA